rnacentral:rRNA from 1 species
CCGGCACGGGUGAGUAACACGUAUCCAACCUGCCGUCUACUCUUGGACAGCCUUCUGAAAGGAAGAUUAAUACAAGAUGGCAUCAUGAGUCCGCAUGUUCACAUGAUUAAAGGUAUUCCGGUAGACGAUGGGGAUGCGUUCCAUUAGAUAGUAGGCGGGGUAACGGCCCACCUAGUCUUCGAUGGAUAGGGGUUCUGAGAGGAAGGUCCCCCACAUUGGGACUGAGACACGGCCCAA